rnacentral:rRNA from 1 species
CCUACGGGAGGCAGCAGUGGGGAAUAUUGGACAAUGGGCGAAAGCCUGAUCCAGCAAUGCCGCGUGUGUGAAGAAGGCCUUCGGGUUGUAAAGCACUUUAAGUUGGGAAGAAAAAGCUCUGGCUAAUAUCUAGAGCCUUGACGGUACCAACAGAAUAAGCACCGGCUAACUCUGUGCCAGCAGCCGCGGUAAUACAGAGGGUGCUAGCGUUAAUCGGAUUUACUGGGCGUAAAGCGUGCGUAGGCGGUUUGAUAAGUCGAUUGUGAAAGCCCCGGGCUUAACCUGGGAAUUGCAGUUGAUACUGUCAGACUAGAAAACGGUAGAGGGAGGCGGAACUCCAGGUGUAGCGGUGAAAUGCGUAGAUAUCUGGAAGAACACCGAUGGCGAAGGCAACCUCCUGGGCCUGUUUUGACGCUGAGGCACGAAAGCGUGGGUAGCAAACAGGAUUAGAUACCCUGGUAGUCCACGCCGUAAACGAUGAGAACUUGACGUUGGUUUGCUUAGCAAAUCGGUGUCGUAGCUAACGCGAUAAGUUCUCCGCCUGGGGGAGGUACGGCGCGAGUAGAACGUAAGUAGUAGUAGUAGCGCGNGAGAGCGACGACGACGACGAGGAGGAGGAGG